ensembl:lncRNA
AUGGAGAAACUGAGGCCCAGAGAGGGGAAGCGAUGUGUCCCAGGUCACAGAGAAAGCUAGCGACAGACAAUGGACUCAAACCCACGGCACCGUCUGGGCUUUUGCCUCUCUUCUCGUCCCGUCCUUCUGUCCCGCCCACCCUUUCCUCCCACAGGCCUGCAGCCAAUCUUUCCCAAGUGCCACUUUGGGCCAGCCUGGUGCCCUGGGCCCUGGGCUUCCUGCCCUGGAAGCUCAGGCUGCCUGAGGCUAUGUCAUUGCCACUUCCUCCUGUCAGACCUCCAGAGCUGCCUGCCCCUCCUCCCCACACCCUGUCCCGGCCACAGACUCUGCUACUCGUUUAAAAAUCCUGAUGCCCAGGCUGCAGAUAUUCUUUCUCGGGAUCUACUUUCUGGAUGCCUGGGCCUGGGCCCCAGGACAGUCCUCAGCUGGGCAAUCCCAACUCCUUCCUGCUCCUGCCCUUUGCCCAACAGGUCUCCGGUCUGCCGAGAUUGCCUGUUCUGAUCUGCCUCACCACUGCCAGGAACUCACUAAAUAUUUGUUGCCCCGGUACAUAGUUGUGUAUCCUAGUUGUAGGUCAUUCUAGUUCUUCUAUGUGGGACGCUGCCACAGCAUGGCUUGAUGAGUGAUGUGUAUGUCUGCGCCCAGGACCUGAACUGGGGAAGCCCAGGCUGCGGAAGCAGAGCACAUGAACUUAACCUUUUGGCCGUGGGGCGGGCCCCAAGAAAAGGGCUUUGAGGUGAGGCAAACUUGGACUCUAGUACCAGCCAGUUCUGCUUUCUGUGUCUGGGUCUCAGUUUACUCAGCUGUGAAGGGAGGUGGAGCAGAGGGAAAAAUGCCUACCUUGUAGUUUGUUAUCAGGAUCAAAGAUACUAUCUAAUAUUUGUACAGGGCCAGCAGCUUGUGACCGGUUCCUCUGGCAACAGGCUGCUCUUGCCCAGGUGGUGGGGAAUGGCGACUGUUUCCAUGGGGAGGAAGUAGAACCUCAGGAAGGAAGGUGGCUGUGAGCCUUCCGAAAAGGACGCUGCCCAAGGGGGCUUCCUCCCAGGGCAGGACAACUGCAGCAGAGAGGUGAAAGGAGGGUGCGGAAGUGGAGGGGUGGGGGUCAUAUGGGACUGGCUAGAGAGUGCCACCACCUUGCCUGGGAGUGCCACGUGCAGUCCCUGCUGGGGAGUUCUCUUGGGAACCCACAAAAGUGCCCCAAGAGGACAGAAUCAGCAUUUGGGUACCUGCUGUGCCCAGAGGCACCGAUGCCCCGUUGCAACCACACCAGACAAAGAAGACAUUUGCUACCUCUAUCUCAUGCUCUGAGCUAUCAGGAAGGAGAAACUUUAGACUGAAAAGGACACGAAAAUUUUGAUCACAAACCAGACCAGACUUUUUAAGAGACCUAGAAAGUGAGACUGUGCUUGUCCACCUGAGAGGGAAAAGCUACAGGAGCAUCUCAAGCAGGAGCAAGAGUCUCCAGAGAAGUUAAAGGGGCUCUGGCUGGAAGGAGUCCUGGGGCCACCUGUGCCACGCCGAGUCGGCUCGGUCCAUGACUGGUUCCCCUGGGACUUGUCUUAUGAAGCCAGUCUGGGCUAGACAUUGAUGGGACUGCUGCCAAACGCCAAACGCUGUGUGGCCUUAGCAGGCCCUUUAUUUCUCUGAGCCUCAGUUUCUCUAGCUGUGAAAUGCCUCUGUUUUCAAAGAGCCUUGCCUGACUGUGCCAGUCUGUAGAAAGAUCUGAGAUCUCUCAGUUCCAAGCAGGAAAAUUAAAUGUGUCCUGAGCCCAGAGUCUGAAGCAAACUCUGGAGGACCUCAGGAAGCCAGGCAGGCGAAUCUGAAAUCAAGCGGCAAGCUGAAAAAUGAUCUCCUCUGUAUAGUGAGGAAAUAAAAAUGAUUUUAAAUUUGCUGUUUAAAAGAUGUUGACUGCAAUGUUAUUUUUAACAGUUUUAUUGAGACAUAAUUUAUAUACCAUAAAAUUUACCUCUUUGAAGUGUGUAAUUCAAUGACUCAGUGAGUUUACAGAGUUGUGCAACCAUCACCACAAUCUAAUUUUAGAAUUAGAUUCUGACUCGGAUGAUUCAAUCAUCCCAGAGAGAGGUCUCAGGCCUAUUCCCACCCCCAGCUCUGGCAACCACUAAUCUGUUUUCUGUUCUUAUAGAUUCGCCUUUUCUGGACAUUUCAGAUCAAUGCAAUUGUGCAGCACGCGUGUCUUGCACCUGGCUUCUUUCCCUCAACACCAUGUUUCUGAGGCUUUUCUAUGUUGCAGCGUGUGUCAGUACCUUGUUCUUUUUUAUAGCCAAACCAUAUGAUAUUGCAUGGAUACACGAAAGAGCUCUCUGAUCAUGUUGGACCACAGAGAAGACUGAGGGAAGGGACAAUACCUGAUUCAUCUCCCUUUUCCCAGGACCGAGCAGAGAGCCAGGCACAGACUAGAUGCUCUGUGUGGUAGCCACUAGUGCUGGCCACCAAAUAUUUCUUUCUUCUCCUGUUGCACUUCCUUGCUCCUUCAAGUUAGUUGUGGCCAAGUGACUUGCUUUCAUCAACAAAAUGUGAAUGGAUGUGAUAUGCAUCACUCCUGAGCAGAAACUUUAAAAGUCAGUGAGCAACUUAACCAUACUCUUAAUCUUGGAGGAGGUGGCUGGCUGCACCAUCACACUGGACCCUGCAGUGAGAAUGACAAGGACAUGCCGCUCUAUAGCCAAUUGACAUGUAGAGUGAGCAAGAACUACAGGCUGAUUUAAGCUGCUU